CUGCCCAUACACCGGAAUAGCUCCUGGNAANGGGUGGUAAUGCCGGANGCUCCAGUUGACCGCAUGGUCCUCUGGGAAANCNUUUGCNGUAUGGGAUGGGGUCGCGUCCUAUCAGCUUGAUGGCGGGGUAACGGCCCACCAUGGCUUCGACGGGUAGCCGGCCUGANANGNCGACCGGCCACAUUGGGACUGAGAUACGGCCCAGACUCCUACGGGAGGCAGCAGUGGGGAAUAUUGCACAAUGGGCGCAAGCCUGAUGCAGCGACGCCGCGUGCGGGAUGACGGCCUUCGGGUUGUAAACCGCUUUUGACUGGGAGCAAGCCCUUCGGGGUGAGUGUACCUUUCGAAUAAGCACCGGCUAACUACGUGCCAGCAGCCGCGGUAAUACGUAGGGUGCAAGCGUUAUCCGGAAUUAUUGGGCGUAAAGGGCUCGUAGGCGGUUCGUCGCGUCCGGUGUGAAAGUCCAUCGCUUAACGGUGGAUCCGCGCCGGGUACGGGCGGGCUUGAGUGCGGUAGGGGAGACUGGAAUUCCCGGUGUAACGGUGGAAUGUGUAGAUAUCGGGAAGAACACCAAUGGCGAAGGCAGGUCUCUGGGCCGUCACUGACGCUGAGGAGCGAAAGCNUGGGGAGCGAACAGGAUUAGAUACCCUGGUAGUCCACGCCGUAAACGGUGGAUGCUGGAUGUGGGGACCAUUCCACGGUCUCCGUGUCGGAGCCAACGCGUUAAGCAUCCCGCCUGGGGAGUACGGCCGCAAGGCUAAAANCUCAAAGAAAUUGACGGGGGCCCGCACAAGCGGCGGANNAUGCGGAUUAAUUCGAUGCAACGCGAAGAACCUUACCUGGGCUUGACAUGUUCCCGACAGCCCCAGAGAUGGGGCCUCCCUUCGGGGCGGGUUCACAGGUGGUGCAUGGUCGUCGUCAGCUCGUGUCGUGANAUGUUGGGUUAANUCCCGCAACGAGCGCAACCCUCGCCCUGUGUUGCCAGCACGUCGUGGUGGGAACUCACGGGGGACCGCCGGGGUCAACUCGGAGGAAGGUGGGGAUGACGUCAGAUCAUCAUGCCCCUUACGUCCAGGGCUUCACGCAUGCUACAAUGGCCGGUACAACGGGAUGCGACCUCGUGAGGGGGAGCGGAUCCCUNAAAACCGGUCUCAGUUCGGAUUGGAGUCUGCAACCCGACUCCAUGAAGGCGGAGUCGCUAGUAAUCGCGGAUCAGCAACGCCGCGGUGAAUGCGUUCCCGCGCCUAGUACACACCGCCCGUCAAGU
rnacentral:rRNA from 1 species